rnacentral:rRNA from 1 species
CAGUCGCCGCGGGAAUACGUAGGGUGCAAGCGUUAAUCGGAAUUACUGGGCGUAAAGCGUGCGCAGGCGGUUUGUUAAGACAGAUGUGAAAUCCCCGGGCUCAACCUGGGAACUGCAUUUGUGACUGGCAGGCUAGAGUAUGGCAGAGGGGGGUGGAAUUCCGCGUGUAGCAGUGAAAUGCGUAGAUAUGCGGAGGAACACCGAUGGCGAAGGCAGCCCCCUGGGCCAAUACUGACGCUGAGGUACGAAAGCAUGGGGAGCAAACAGGAUUAGAUACCCCCGUAGUCCCUGUCUCUUAUAA